rnacentral:rRNA from 1 species
UACGGGGGGGGUAAGCGUUGUUCGGAAUUAUUGGGCGUAAAGCGCGCGUAGGCGGUUACUCAAGUCGGAUGUGAAAGCCCUCGGCUUAACUGAGGAAGUGCACCCGAAACUGAGUAGCUAGAGUACUAAAGAGGGUCGCGGAAUUCCCGGUGUAGAGGUGAAAUUCGUAGAUAUCGGGAGGAACACCGGUGGCGAAGGCGGCGACCUGGGUAGAUACUGACGCUGAGGCGCGAAAGCGUGGGGAGCAAACAGG